rnacentral:lncRNA from 10 species
AGAAAAGCACAGGCGGAGAAAAGACGAUUUUUCUUACAGGGCUAAAAUGCAGGGGACUUCCUUAUCCUGCCGACUUAGAGAAGCCCGGCCCCUUGUGAUCCAUUGCUGAAAGCCGCCUCGUGUUUGAAAAACGGAUCCGCUCCCAACUUCAGUGGAAGGACAUGACAUGUAGCACGAGGAAAGAUUGUGGCAUAUUACUGAACUAAGCAACCUAGUGACGUGUCUCUUCUGACUGGGGCUUGCCCACAGAGACAACUGUGACAUAGCACUGAGCCCAGGACCCAGGUGAUGUGACUCUGCUGCCUGUUUCCAACAUUCAUGAGAGGAUGGUAACUAUCCCUUGCCAAGAACUCAGGUGAUUUGACUGUCCUGCCUUGUUGCUGCCCUCAGAGAAGAUUGUGAUAUAUCUUCAGCCCCAAACCCAGGUGACAUGUUCCUCUAUUUGGCAUCUGAGUGAUAUGACUCUUGCCAUGGUCUAGCCCACAGAUGGAAUUGUGAUGUGUUGCUGUACCCAGCACCUAGGUUUUGCCCACAGGGGAGAUUGUGACAUAUCACUGGGCCUCAAACUAAGGUGAAGUUACACUUUCAUUUUCGAACUGUACUCAGAAGGCAUCGUGACAUAUUCCUGGGCCCAGCACCAAGGUGAUGUGAGUCUCCUGCCUGCACUUUGCCCACAAAUGGCAUUGUAACAUAUCUUUAGACCUAUCAACUACUUGAUAUGACUUAUUUUUUUAAAGUGAAAGCAAGUUUA